ACCACACCAACCCAAGAAAUCAUUUCUAUAUUUAAAAAAGGUUCUCUGAAUAUGUAAUGUACCAGAAGUCAUGAGGAGGAAACACAGCUGUUUUCUGAACAUGAAGCUGUUUCUCGCCAUAGGUGAUAGUCCUUAUAUUUAUCUGGGAAUGUGAAAGAAAGAGAAUACAUUCUGAGUGG
rnacentral:snoRNA from 1 species